rnacentral:rRNA from 1 species
UAACCGCCCGGCAACGGUGAAACUCAAAAGGAAUUGACGGGGGCCCGCACCAAGCCGGAGCGAACAUGUCGCGCUUCUACACUCUCGCACUGAUACCGCGAAGGAAACAAUUAAGCCGGGCUUGAACUCGCAGGAGACCGAUUCAGAGAUGAUGAGCCCUCUCGGGUUCUCGGUGUGGGGUGCUAGCAUGGUUCGUCCGUCAGCCUCGUGCCCGUGAGGUGUCGGCUUAAGUGCCAUAACCGAGCAGCGAGACCCUUUCCUUCAGCUUGCCCAUCAGGUUAUGCUGGACACCUCUGGAGACACUGCCACAAGAUAAGGUGUGAGGAAGGUGGGGAUGACGUCAAAUCAGCACGGCCCUUACGUCCGGGGCUACACACGUGUUACAAUGGGUGGUACAGAGAGUCGGUCGGAUGCAAAUCCGAUCCAAUCAUGAAAGCCAUCCUCAGUUCGGAUUGGGGUCUGCAACCCGACCCCAUGAAGCUGGAUUCGCUAGUAAUCGCGCAUCAGCCAUGGCGCGGUGAAUACGUUCCCGGCGCCUUGUACACACCGCCCUAAUCUGAAU